CCCGUGAUCGCCUGUGUCGAGCACACGGCUCAUAAUCGUGGUGUCGCGGGUUCAAGUCCCGCUCCCGCUACAA
rnacentral:tRNA from 1 species